ACCCAGCUGAUGAGUCUCAAAUAAAGCGAAACGCGAGUCCUAGAU
rnacentral:hammerhead_ribozyme from 1 species